rnacentral:tRNA from 1 species
GGGCCCAUAGCUCAGUGGUUAGAGCAGGCGACUCAUAAUCGUUUGAUCGCAGGUUCGACUCCUGCUGGGCCCA